rnacentral:sRNA from 1 species
UUCCUCAAUGUGGGCAACGGUCACAAAUCUCCCAGUGAUGUGGACUAUGGAGGACAGGUGACUAUCUUUUCCAGAGGUGAUGAGGGCUCACUUUGAACACCCAUGAACACUAGGGAGAAAUCACAUGGAUUAUCUUGACUCGCAGCAAAGGGUAGAUAAUGUAUUCGUUAACCAUCAUUUUCCUAAAUAAUCAGUCACAACCUUACAGACACAUUGGGAACUUUCUUUUCAAGCUCCCGAGAGAGCUCGGGAAGGCCUGCUCAGGAAGACAAGACAUUUGGCCACGUGGUACCAGAUUCCUUCGGCACUCAAAAGGCUGAGGGACUAAGACCCUCUGAAAAACUGUCUGGGUGGCAGGACACUGUAGCUACUGUAUGCAAAGCCACAGUGGGAGGCACUGACCAUUGAACAAGUGCUCAGAGGCCAGAGAAGAAGCAGCUUUUCAAUGGAAUGAUCUCCGUGAUGCUCAAAACGAACACCUCCAAAGUGCAGGCAAAUUCCUCAACAUUGUUUUGGUAUUUGAGAUCAACAGAGAAGUUCAACUAAUACAUCAUCUACUAUCAAGGUAAAAACCUUUUCUGGAUUUAUUUAAAAGACAAAUAUCCUUCAGAUGGUAUAUAGCACUUUUCCCCAUGAAUUAUUGCCAUCAGGUCUCUCUCCACACUGGUCAACCCCUAUGACAUCAUCUGCAGCUUGAGAAACAUUGACCUGUGCAUUUCUUCACUUGUGAAUAUGAUUUCACGCUAUCAACAAUAUUAAACUGACUUACCAUGAGGUCCCUAACAGCCCACUGCCCACCAGAGGUAGUAGAAAAGAAAG